rnacentral:rRNA from 1 species
AGACCCGAAACCGGCGCGAUCUAUCCAUGGCCAGGUUGAAGAUUAGGUAGUACUAAUUGGAGGACCGAACCCAAUACUGUUGCAAAAGUAUGGGAUGAGCUGUGGAUCGGAGUGAAAGGCUAAUCAAGCACGGAGAUAGCUGGUUCUCCCCGAAAACUAUUUAGGUAGUGCCUCGUGUAUAACUCAUUGGGGUAAAGCACUGUUUCGACAAUGGGGGUUUUACGACCUUACUGACUCGAUGCAAACUCAGAAUACGAUGAAGUUCGAUCACGGGAGACACACUGCGGGUGCUAAGGUCCGCAGUGGAAAGGGAAACAGCCCAGACCGCCAACUAAGGUCCCAAAGUCAUAGCUAAGUGGGAAACGAAGUGGGAAGGCCCAGACAGCCAGGAGGUUGGCUUAGAAGCAGCCACCCUUUAAAGAAAGCGUAAUAGCUCACUGGUCGAGUCGGCCUGCACGUAAGAUUUAACGGGGCUAAGCUAUGCACUGAAGUUGCGGAAUAUAUUUAGUAUAUUGGUAGGGGAGCGUUCUGUAAGCCGAUGAAGGUGAAUUGAGAAGUUUGCUGGAGGUAUCAGAAGUGCGAAUGCUGACAUGAGUAACGUAAAAUAAGUGAGAUUCUUAUUGGCCGAAAACCCAAGGGUUCCUACGCAAUGUUAAUCAACGUAGGGUAAGCCGGCCCCUAAGGCGUAGCUGAAGAGUGAAGUCGAUGGGAAACAGGUUAAUAUUCCUGUGCUGCUUAUAUGAACGAAGGAGGGACGGAGAAGGUUAGGUAGGCCUGGCGAAUGGUUGUCCAGGUGAAAGUAUGUAGGUAGGAAUGCUAGGCAAAUCCGGUGUUCUGUUGAUCUGAGAUACGAGACGAAGUUAAACUUGUUUGACGAAGCUAUUGAUACCAUGCUUCCAGGAAAAGCUUCUAAGUAUAUUGUAUAAGUGACCGUACUGUAAACCGACACUGGUGGGUAGGUAGAGAAUACUAAGGCUAUGAGAUAACUCUGGUGAAGGAACUAGGCAAAAUGACACCGUAACUUUGGAAGAAGGUGUGCCCUUGAUGGUGAUGAGACUUGCUCUUUGAGCUGUUGGGGGUUGCAGAUACCAGGUGGCUGCGACUGUUUAUCAAAAACACAGCACUCUGCGAAAUCGUAAGAUGAAGUAUAGGGUGUGACGCCUGCCCGGUGCUGGAAGGUUAAUUGAAGGGGUUAGCGCAAGCGAAGCUCUGGAUCGAAGCCCCAGUAAACGGCGGCCGUAACUAUAACGGUCCUAAGGUAGCGAAAUUCCUUGUCGGGUAAGUUCCGACCUGCACGAAUGGCGUAACGAUGGCCACACUGUCUCCACCAGAGACUCAGUGAAAUUGAAAUCGCUGUGAAGAUGCAGUGUACCCGCGGUUAGACGGAAAGACCCCGUGAACCUUUACUAUAGCUUUGCACUGGACUUUGAAUAUUUAUGUGUAGGAUAGGUGGGAGACCAUGAAGCAGCUACGCCAGUAGUUGUGGAGUCGUCCUUGAAAUACCACCCUUGAAUAUUUGAAGUUCUAACUCAGGAGAGAUUCGAGGACAGUGUAUGGUGGGUAGUUUGACUGGGGCGGUCUCCUCCUAAAGAGUAACGGAGGAGUACGAAGGUGCACUCGGUACGGUCGGAAAUCGUGCCAAGAGUAUAAAGGCAAAAGUGCGCUUGACUGCGAGAGUGACGGCUCGAGCAGGUACGAAAGUAGGUCUUAGUGAUCCGGUGGUCCCGAAUGGAAGGGUCAUCGCUCAACGGAUAAAAGGUACUCCGGGGAUAACAGGCUAAUUCCUCCCAAGAGUUCAUAUCGACGGAGGAGUUUGGCACCUCGAUGUCGGCU